UUGUGAGUGCAUUAAAAUGCAUUUUAACCAAGAAGGUAUACAAAAUUAUGGUGGAUGUCAUAUGAUAGAGACAUUUUUGGAGGUAGACAAUUUACCAUUUUUUGCCAAAACUAUCCAGUGAAUAAACAAUACC
ensembl:lncRNA novel transcript